AACGCACAUUGCGCCCUUUGGUAUUCCGAAGGGCAUGCCUGUUCGAGCGUCAUUAUCACCCCUCAAGCCCCGUGCUUGGUGUUGGACGGCCGGUCGAGCGAAUCGACCCCUCCUAAAGACAAUGACGGCGGCCUGUGGUUCCCCCGGUACACUGAGCUUCUCAUCGAGGCACGUAUCGGACCAGGGCACCCGGGUUCCGGUCCCCUCCUUCCACAAGGAAACUUCUAAUGGUUGACCUCGGAUCAGGUAGGAAUACGCGCUGAACUUAA
rnacentral:misc_RNA from 1 species